GCCCGGCUGGCGCAAUGGCUAGCGCGCAAGACUUCUACUUUGAAAUUAAGUAAUCUUGAGGUUGCCGGUUCGACCCCGGCGUUGGGCU
rnacentral:tRNA from 1 species